rnacentral:rRNA from 2 species
UGCGCGUCAUGGGGUUGUACGAACCUAAAGGCGUAAUGAAAGUGAAGGCACGAGGUACGAUCCCUGGCGCAGUACCGGCCCGUCUCGUCGGCGCCGUCCGGGAGGCGGAGCAAGAGCGUACACGUUGGGACCCGAAAGAUGGUGAACUAUGCUUGAGUAGGACGAAGCCAGAGGAAACUCUGGUGGAGGUCCGUAGCGAUUCUGACGUGCAAAUCGAUCGUCAAACUUGAGUAUAGGGGCGAAAGACUAAUCGAACCA